rnacentral:rRNA from 1 species
AGAGUUUGAUCAUGGCUCAGGACGAACGCUGGCGGCGUGCUUAACACAUGCAAGUGGUGCGACGAACCAGGGCUUGCCCUGGGGCAAAGCCGCGAACGGGUGAGUAACACGUGGGUAACCUGCCCCGAUGACCGGGACAACCCGAGGAAACUCGGGCUAAUACCGGAUGUGGCGCACUGACACAAGUCAAUGCGCUAAAGGAAGCUUCGGCCUCCGCAUUGGGAGGGGCCCGCGGCCCAUUAGCUUGUUGGUGGGGUCAAGGCCUACCAAGGCGACGAUGGGUAGCUGGUCUGAGAGGACGAUCAGCCACACUGGGACUGAGACACGGCCCAGACUCCUACGGGAGGCAGCAGUGGGGAAUCUUGCGCAAUGCGCGAAAGCGUGACGCAGCAACGCCGCGUGGGGGAAGAAUGCCUUCGGGUUGUAAACCCCUUUCAGGAGGGACGAAGGUUCGCCGGUGAAUAGCCGUGCGGAUUGACGGUACCUCCAGAAGAAGCUCCGGCUAACUACGUGCCAGCAGCCGCGGUA